GUUGUGGCUCAGUGGUAGAGCACUUGUUUAGCAGGCAUGAGGCACUGGGUUCACUGGGUUCGAUUCCCAGCAAC
rnacentral:tRNA from 1 species